UAUGUGUAUUCCUGAUUUUCGUACAAUUUUAUGAAAAUUCGAAAAAUCUCUCCAAUUUGAAAUUAAAAUCACCGUGCGAAGUAGUGUGUCAGCUGGCCCUGGUGUGGAGAAUAUGAUUUCAAUCGUGCUUCCUAAUUCCUACCCUGUCGUCGUUCUGGCAUGUUUACAUUUCGAACUGUCAAACCCGCAUCGCCUCACCUCCGCCGGCUGAUUGGAAAGAAGCGAAAGAAUAUCGUCCACUAUUUCGAUUUUGUUGGAACCGUGGCCACGGGACCGACGGGAACAGAACGACGCUCGUGCUCGGUUCGGAAUGAGCGAGUUGAAUCAUUAAUAUGAAAGCGAUUAAAACAAGCAACACCAGGAGCGUUACCCAGUGCGAUGCUGCUAGACUUGGACAAGCUGAAGCUGAGGGGUUGCAUUGUUUUCCGAAGGUUACAAUCAGGAUCAGAACUGUUUUGGAGGUAAUAGGAUGUUCCAGAAGCCUUCGAAAACCGAUAUAGGGGUCCUCCGUCCAAUGGAAUGUGACCGAAUCGGUUCAGCAAUCCAGAACGGAACAAAUACGGAGGACCUGGUGGAUACCGAAGUGAAAACAGUUGGAACAAGAGCACAGGCGGCUACCAGGCGAAUCUUUCGCAUUAGCCACAGAACUUCACAGCAGCAGUUGUACGAAUCUCACCAGCAGAUGCGAUUCCAUUCGAAGACCAUGUACCAGAAUCCAAACCAGUA